UACGUAGGUGACAAGCGUUGUCCGGAUUUACUGGGCGUAAAGAGCGCGCAGGCGGUCGAUCAAGUCGAGUGUGAAAGCCCCCGGCUCAACUGGGGAGGGUCACGCGAUACUGAUCGACUCGAAGGCAGGAGAGGGUAGUGGAAUUCCCGGUGUAGUGGUGAAAUGCGUAGAUAUCGGGAGGAACACCAGUGGCGAAGGCGACUACCUGGCCUGUUCUUGACGCUGAGGCGCGAAAGCUAGGGGAGCAAACGGGG
rnacentral:rRNA from 1 species